rnacentral:rRNA from 1 species
GAUGAACGCUGGCGGCGUGCUUAACACAUGCAAGUCGAGCGAGAAGACUUUGACAGAUCCUUCGGGUGAUGGAAAAGUUGGAAAGCGGCGGACGGGUGAGUAACGCGUGGGCAACCUGCCCCAUACAGGAGGAUAGCCACUGGAAACGGUGAUUAAUACUCCAUAAGACCACAGCACCACAUGGUGCAGAGGUAAAAACUCCGGUGGUAUGGGAUGGGCCCGCGUCUGAUUAGCUAGUUGGUAAGGUAACGGCUUACCAAGGCGACGAUCAGUAGCCGACCUGAGAGGGUGAUCGGCCACACUGGAACUGAGACACGGUCCAGACUCCUACGGGAGGCAGCAGUGGGGAAUAUUGCACAAUGGGCGAAAGCCUGAUGCAGCAACGCCGCGUGAACGAUGAAGGCCUUCGGGUUGUAAAGUUCUUUUCUUGGAGAAGAAUCCAUGACGGUAUCCAAGGAAUAAGCCCCGGCUAACUACGUGCCAGCAGCCGCGGUAAUACGUAGGGGGCAAGCGUUAUCCGGAAUCACUGGGCGUAAAGGGAGUGUAGGCGGUCAAGCAGUCAGA